rnacentral:lncRNA from 1 species
GGCAGGCGGCUGGCAGAGGUUAAGGCCUGACUUCUGCUCCCAGUUGACCCAGUCGACCCGGGUUCAAAUCCGCCUGCCGGCUCCUCGGGUGUUUGAGGAGUGAUGAAAUGGGAGGUGGCCCCCCAUCUUAUGGACGGUGUAGGACGUGAUAAUAUCAACUUGCGAGCUGACCAGGAACUAAGUUGAUGCGCCGUUGAUCCGCUAGAUUUGGUUGGAUGCUGGUGGUGAGUUGCCGAACCCAACGAAUACAUUCUGAAGUCGGAUGGGGUGACGGAUUAGGGUGCCCCUCUAGCAGGGGAGAGCAGGGACUGCCCCGGGAAAGGGGGCCGCUGGCGAAGUUAACCACCCUGUAACAACAUACAGGGUAACCUGAACCCCCCUCACGCCCUAAGUGCUCUCAAUCAAAGACGGGGGAUUGUUGGGUACGACAUUCCAUAAAAGCAGUUCGCCUUUUUUCAUGGACGACUCUGCCACAUCUGUGCCGUAUCCGCUUGAACCACGUGUCGUUAUGUACAGAGCUGCGAAAGCGCGCAACAGCAACAGUACGGCGCGGCCUCGCGCUCGUACGUACGUACAUUAUAUACGACACUGUCGAUACACCCGGCGUACGGCUCCGUUAACUCGGACGUCAUCACCGCCGGCGGUGAGAAGCAGGUAGCUCGCAGGCCCCCCCCGGGGUUACCCACGCGCUCCAAACCCGCAGCGCCUUCCCGCGCCAGGACCACCACCAGCAGCGCUGCAAUCCCUGUGCCGUACACGGGUCGUACAUGGGUCGUACAAAUGUUCGCAAGCUCGUCGAUGGUCGUGGUCUUAGCGGCUAAUCGUUGUCAGCGUUGCUAAUCGUUGGUUGGACAUCAUGACGCUAGACAGGUCGCGCCCAGUUCAGCCAGCCGCUGGCAGCGAUAGCCAUUUCCCCCCCCCCCUUCAGCAGGACAGCAUCCGACACGCACAGUAGUGUAGGCACCCAAAACACAGCCCCCCCCCACCUCCCCGGACAUCUCCCCGGGGCCCCUGCUCCUCUGCCGGGUGGCGGCAAGUCAGAUGGAGUCUUCCCCUCCCCCCAAAUCCAUACCGGGGAGAUCGCACCUCUGUCCAUACACACCCACACACCCACACCCACACACACCAAGCCCCGGCCCCCCACCCCGCCCCCGCCCCCCACCCCCACCCGCAGCUUCCGCGUGUCCCAGGACCCUCAGGCCGUACUGGGGAUGCGCCUCCACUGCCGCCCUCAGCCGCCCGGACUGCUCCUGCAGCAGAGCCCGAGCCGCCUCCAACAUGCCGCGGUGGGCGGAACCUGCGCAGGAGACCGGCAGCAGCACCGGCAGCAGGAAUAACAUAGCCGUAGCCGUAGCCGUAGCAGCACAUUGCCUUCUCGGGCCUUUUCAGUUCACCCAGAGGUCGCGUCGGAGGACUCCAUGUCCCAAUAGGUUCAAGUUCUUGGGGACUACACACACACAUACACAUACACAUACACACACACUCUCCCCAUCCCCGGGGUGAGUUGCUUACCUGGACCCAGAGAUGUCGUACUCCCCGGGGCCAAUACUCCAUUCAACAACUCCGGCAGGUCACCACUGCCGCGGAUCACCAUCCGUAUCGUACAGCUGUCGUGAUGUACGGCAAUGAAGAAAGCUGGUCGGUUUCCGGAGGGCUCCGGGCAGCAGGCCAGGAGGUCCGCGGGCUGCUGCCGUACAGUUUCGGUAAUGGGCCGGGGGCGGUGUUGGGAGGGGGUGUACAAAAGGGGGGAGAAGGAGGAAGGUUUGAGCCCGGGGGAGGGCGGGGGGGAGGAGCAUGGGCGGGUCGGAUCCGGCCGCGGAAGGUUCAAGAAGGAACCAGGACUCAGACACCGGAACAGGCUGCGCUGUCCGCUCAGCCAGAUAUAGCCCGACAGACGACUUCACCCCCCUCCUCCCUUUCCCUCCGCCUCCCUUACCUUCCCGUGCUUACCACCUCCGCCACCACCACCACCACCAUCACCACAACAAGGGUGACCCACCACACUCAGCCAGAAAGGUAGCCGGAAAGGCGACAGACCGGCUGGCAGUCAGUCCUCCGCACCAGCCCUUCUUCCUCCCCCUUCCCCCCCUCCUCCGCACUUCCCUUCCCUCCUCUCCCUCACCUGCAGCCCUAGCAGUUCCAACAGCCGUUGCUCCGGAACCACUACCCCGCAACCCCCCGAGGCGGCGGAGGCGGCCCCUCCGGAUUCAGCCCCUUCCCCCCCCCCCCCCCCUNNNNNNNNNNNNNNNNNNNNNNNNNNNNNNNNNNNNNNNNNNNNNNNNNNNNNNNNNNNNNNNNNNNNNNNNNNNNNNNNNNNNNNNNNNNNNNNNNNNNNNNNNNNNNNNNNNNNNNNNNNNNNNNNNNNNNNNNNNNNNNNNNNNNNNNNNNNNNNNNNNNNNNNNNNNNNNNNNNNNNNNNNNNNNNNNNNNNNNNNNNNNNNNNGCCAGUUCGCCAGGACGGCCCUACACCGCAGCAGUAGUAACAGCAGCAGUAGUAGCAGUAAUAGUAGCAGUAGCAGCAGUAGUAGUAGCAGUAGCAGUAGCAGCAGCAGCAGCAGUAGUAGCAGCAGCAGUAGCAGUAGUAGCAGCAGUAGUAGUAGCAACAGCAGUAGCAACAGCAGUAGCAACAGCGGUGGUAGCAGCAGCAGUGGUAGUAGCAGCAGCAGCAGUAGCAGCAGUAGCAGCAGUAAAAUGGGUCAACAACACCACGGACAACAAAUUAUGUAGGCAGCAGAAGCAACAGUAACAACCGCAUUAGUCAGUCUGUCAGUCUGCGUGUCCGUCGGCCCGUCGGUCCGUCAAUCGGUACCCAGGGUUCGUGUAUUACCCCGGGUCUCCCCCGGAGGCCCCUUCCGGCCCCCGUAUCACUACCCCCCAAAGCACUCACUCGUCCGUUACUUCCUCUCCGGCAGCAGCAGGGGGGGCGCACGGGAGCGGCUCGUGCUUGCGAGCCAGAGCUAGCCUAUGAAAGGGGGGAGGGGAAAAGGGGGGAGGGUCUUCUCGGGCGUGCGGGGGCAGAAAGGAGGUUGAUACAGCCGUUGGGUGGGUUAAGGGAGGGCACCUGCCAGCCCCUCGGAGCCGUACCUCCCAAGGGGGGGUGGGAGGUGGGGGCCCGGGCUCUGGGACCGUGAAGCGGGAUACACACAUGUGGCUGUGACCCGUGGGUCCGAACGGCACACGUACGGACGCAUGUACGAGCCGUCAAGGUGUGUACACGUACCAUCCGAACGCCAAUGACUCGUACGUGAGGGCCUCCCGUGUACGAUACGCGUUGCGCAUGCUGGACGCAGUGGCCCGGAAGACAUCCUGUGCGGGAAAAGACAACAGCAGUGGCAAUGGUAGCAGUGGCAACGGUAGCAGCAGUAGCAGCACUAGCAGCAAUAGUUGUCGAGCAGCAGUAGCAGCAAUAGUUGCCGAGCAGCAGUAGCAGCACUAGCAGCAAUAGUUGCCGAGCAGCAGUAGCAGCAAUAGUUGCCGAGCAGCAGUAGCAGUAGUGGCAGCAAUAGUUGCCGAGCAGCAGUAGCAGCACUAGCAGCACUAGUUGCCGAGCAGCAGUAGCAGCAAUAGUUGCCGAGCAGCAGUAGCAGUAGUGGCAGCAAUAGUUGCCGAGCAGCAGUAGCAGCAGUAGCAGCACUAGUUGCCGAGCAGCAGUAGCAGCAAUAGUUGCCGAGCAGCAGUAGCAGUAGUAGCAGCAAUAGUUGCCGAGCAGCAGUAGCAGCACCAACAGCAGUAGCGGGAUGACCUCGAGCAGGUGACGUGAGAUGGGAUGCCGCCACGCAGCCGCGCAGCCGGGGUGGCUGUAGUGGCCCGAUAACGACACGACCGGAAAACCCACGACGCACGAUGCUCAGCUCCGGAACCCAAGGGGCUAGCGUACGAUGAAUACCCGGCCCCAUGGACCUCCAAUGAAGCACACAGCCCCGGGCCAAAUGAUUGCUGUUGGGGCGUGACCUGCCCCAUGCCCACCUCGCCCAUCCCAACCUAGCUACCAUUUGAUGACUGCCCUCCCGGAGAUACGACAGACCCAAAUCGAAUCAAAUCGAACCAAACUUGGAUUCGACGACCCGCUGUUCACCAGCCCCGGCCAGACUGCUAAUCAGGCUAUAUCCUCCCUCGCACCCGCACCCGGCACGUACCAGCCAGCUGUCCAGGUCGCCGUGCCGCUUUUGCUGUCCGCUGUCCGCCUCCGCCAUUUCCCGCCAGACGUCCUCGCCAAGCGCUUGGGUCGGACAUAGAGGGCUGUCUGCGCACGGUGUGGUCUGUGGCAGGUGCAGCGGCAGGGAGGUUCUUGCGGAGGACAGGGCUGCGGUCCGCGACCCGGGGGUAUGUAUCGCGUCCAGGGCCGCCGCGGCCUGCAGGACCCGCAUCGCUUCCUGCUCGCUUAAACACUCCAUUCCGCGAUUAGGCUGCAGUCGACGAGUUGGCCACCGCGCGACUAGCAAUGAAGCGGCACGAACCCGGACAGCUUCCCAAAUGCGCAGCCGGUAUAUGGGUGACGCACGUCAUUUUUUCUAUCUCAUAAACGUCUCCUCAUGCUGGUGCGCCUGCACUCCGGGUCGAUUCAAGCCGGAAAGAGGACAAAUAAAGUGUAUGUCGCCGAGCAUGAGGUUCCUUACUAAAAUGGAAAAAAAAUUGUCCCAAAAUUCAUGUAAUUGAUUAUAUUGUAUUGUUUUCGCCGGCUUCCGUUGGGACUGGCCGUACCAGUACCGGCACCGACGCUUCACGUCCACCACGACGAUGCAAUAACGAAGCUCCGUCACGAUAUAUUUCUCGAGCAUAAGACGGAAAUAUUGGCUCUUUGUAUGUUGUGUUGGUUGCAUAUUGUGCGUUGGAUAACGAGCUCAGCCACACACGACAAACCUCCAUGAAACUCUAUCCAUCUGGUAAAGCACGAACACUCCUGACUGACAGCAAAAAAAUAAAUAAAGAAGGUUUAAGGAAUCUAUUUGUUGCUGCGCUAUCGUGGAAAACGACAAGUAGCUUUGUGUGGAGAUGCCACGUAACCACGACGCCUUCUUUUAGCUUGCUUCUUUCAACGUAGUAAAAUAUAGAAACCUGCAAAACAACAUGAAUAUUUGCAGUUGGCCCGCCGUGUGAAGCUGUGCUGGUAGCCUUUGUGCACAUCAGGCAACCACCCGUUUUCCUGAGGGCGCUCGUGGCGCUGUCAUUGACCAAAGAUAAAGAUGGCAAUGAAUGCCAGUCUGGGUGAACCCUCGCGGCCUUCACAGGCUGCAAGGCAUGUAUGUCAUCGCAUGCUGCAGACCUAUACACCCCUGGCGCGCGUGGGGCCUCCGCCGUCAAGGGCGUCACGUCCCGCUGUUCCAGUCCUUAUCUCCACAUCCCCUAGCAUUAUCACCCGUCGUAUGAACACACCGCGCAUGUCCACGUGCGUGUGUGCCGGGGCUGAAGGCGACACCACAAGCACAGCGCCCGGUGUGAGCCUUGCGGCAGCGGCAGACCCGGCAGGACGACCCGCUUCUGCGACGGCAGCCAGGAAAGCGGCGACGCGCGACGACUUUGCGAUUGACCAGCGACCCGUCAUCUUGUUUGAUGGCGUGUGCAACUUGUGAGUGUAAUCGGUCGCUGUUGAUGUUGUCGUGGCUGCUGUAUUGUCACCUCAGGAACAUAAGGCUGUGAGCUCCCUCUCCCUCUCCCUCUCCCUCUCCCUCUCCCUCUCCCUCUCCCUCUCCCUCUCCCUCUCCCUCUCCCUCUCCCUCUCCCUCUCCCUCUCCCUCUCCCUCUCCCUCUCCCUCUCCCUCUCCCUCUCCCUNNNNNNNNNNNNNNNNNNNNNNNNNNNNNNNNNNNNNNNNNNNNNNNNNNNNNNNNNNNNNNNUGCUUCAUUCGCCAGUGGUUCUUCUUAUCUCCCUCUCCCCUCACACGCUGAUAACCACCCGCACGCUUCCCAUACCCCUUUCCGCACAUCCUCUGCAUAUACACUCUCAAGCCCCGUAUACCCUUCUUACACGCCUCCUUCCACCGUCCUCCUCUUCCUCGUUCUGCAGAUGCAACGGCGGCGUCAACUUCAUGAUGGACAACGACCCGUCGGCAGUAUUUCGUCUAGCUGCCCUGCAGAGCCCCGCCGGCCGCCGCCUGCUGUUGCGCUGCGGCCGCCAGGUCGACGACCUGUCCUCCAUUGUGCUGGUGGAGAAGAACCGCCACUUCAUCCGCUCCGAAGCCAUUCUGCGCAUCGGUGCAGCGCUGCGGCUGCCGCUGCCGGCGCUUGCGGCUCUGGGAUUCCCGCUGCCGCUGCCGCUGAGGGACACCCUGUACGAUGCGGUUGCGAAUAACAGGUAGGGGUGAGGGUGAGGAGCGCGGCGGGGUAGGUGGCGGUCGGGAGGUUGUGGCGGUGCCGGUGGCAACCCAGGGCGUUUGUGGGGAGGAGGAAGAAGGGGGAGAUGGGUAUCUGCCAGUUCCCGCUGCCGCUGCCGGUGCUGCGGUGGGUUGCUGGCGGAAGGGGGAACGGGACGGGGCAUGAGGAGGCCGCGGUUGCGAACGGGGUGGAUUCCCGCCCCCCGCACUCUGGUUGCGGAUGGGAACGGUCGUGGAACGGGAGCCGCCCGUGUACCCCCUCGCUGAGUGAGCUGAGUGCGCGAUCCGUUAGACACGGCGACACGCGGGCGAUGAGAAACGCUUUCUGGUAAAGGGCCCUGCGUGAAGCCACAGCUCGCGCUGGCGGUUGGCAAGGAAGCGAGAAGGAAGAGAAGAAAGCGAUGAAGAGGAGGAGGAGGAGGAGGAGGAGGAGGAGGAAGGGAUGUUGAAUCAAUGCAGGGAUGUUGAAACACUGCAUCUGCGUACUGACCCUGGGGGGCGAAGGGGCUCUCGCUAGGAACAGCUUCAACCUACGCGGCGUUGAGGCUCCCGGGCUGUCCAAACCGCAGAACGGACAUUGGCAGUUAUCUGCUGACUUUUGCAAAGAUACCGCCCCAAUACCGCCAUUCCCCGUCCCCACUGCCUUUAUGCUUCGCAGGUACUCGUUCUUCGGCCGUACCGGCGCCUGUCGCCUGCGGGAUGCUGGCAGGUUUGCAGACCGGUUCAUUGUGGACUAGUAUGGCUGCGGGGCCCCGGCGGCAGUAGGCGUGAGGGGAGCGCGGCGCGAUGGUGGUGGUGAUGGAGCUGCUAGGAGGAGCGGGCGGCGCCGGCAGGGGCUGACGCGGGGCCAUUACCAGCCGGGGCGUGACUAGCGGCGAUGGGGGAAGUAGCAGUAACAGUGGUGUAAGCAGGAGUAGCAAUAGCAGCGAGCGGUGCUGGUGGCAGCAGCAGCAGCAGGUGCCAAGCUCUGGGGCAGUAACCGUAGUGUAGCGCUGUCGUCUAUGAGCCUGAAGGGUUGGGGUUUUAGUUGGCAUUCCGUUGCCGCUGCCUUGAACACGUUUUGCAAAACCAGACAGGCCUUAAGUAAGGUACCUGUCAUAGAUCAGUAUGCGUGCUUGUACUUUCAUCCUUGUUUCUGCUUCGGCAAAGGGAUUUCUUUUGUAUUUUUAUCUACUCGCCACGUUGUCUUUCGUUACAUAAUUCGUACCAGGCCUUGCAAUGUUGAAAUCCGUCGCGUGCACAGGUAGCUGCUUAGGCGGCAUUUCAAUAUGUGCCUAAUCAAGCAUAUAUACCGCCGAUUUAAGAUCAGUGCAGGAGAGGUUAGCCAGAGUGUCGACCUGUAAGAUCCGUACGGAGGGUUAAGGGACCGUAAUGGGUGCCGCAGCGAUGGCUGAGAGGAAGCGCGGGACGAGAGGGGCUGGACCUUGGGGAACCUCAACGAGCAGCUCGCCUAACUAAAUCAUAUCUCUUCUUAACGUAAAUGCUGAGAGGGGGGUACGUGACGGGUUGAACGUGUACGUGUCUGAGUAGGCACCUCUCAUUCCUUGCCGGGGGGUGUUUCCGUGGCUUGCACGGCGUGUACAUAUGCUGGAUUGUGCAAUUUAAGGAUCUGAACAGCGUGACCACAUACGGGGAGGCCGGCGAUGUAACAGGCCAGACGCGGAGGCCUUUGGGGAGUGCAGGGAGCCUACAACCUACCGGCAGGCAAGCAGGGUAGGCGGGCAGGCAAGCAGGGUAGGCAGAAAAAGCAAACAGGGUAGGCGGGCAAGCAUGCCGUUUACUUUGCGGGAAAUAAUCAACCAGUUUAUCACGGUGAACAUUAGAGGUUGUACGGCUCUUGGGAGGAGCUUACACGCACGCUCUGGUACACGUUAUUACCGCUUCAUUAGAAAUCAUCAUACGGCAUACCAACCUGAAUGAGAAGAACCCAGAAUGUGCUUGUGCAGCGAGUUUAUCGUCACACAUUUUCCCUCUGGCAUGAGCCCAAGUGCAGUGGUGAUCGAUUACAGAACUGAGAAUGUGAGAAUGCCAUGUUUUGUGUCGGGUGUUGCGGGUUGUCUCUGCAUGUGGGAUGUCGCAGGAUGCGCAUUGCUAAUCAAUAGCAUACCCAUUGCGGAGAGCCCAGCGUCUCAGCGAAGUGAAGUCCAGGUUGUUUACCCUCCCUUCCGCAGCUUGUAGGCUGUGAGCAUCUGCUGAAAUUUCUGAGCUGGGAACUCUGGUAAGUUUAAACUAGUCGGCAACAGCAAGGUGGCCAGAGCGCUUUUUAUACCAUGAUGUUCUUAUAACAUAUGCUCUCAUAAACAUGAUGCUUUUUGUAACACCUUGAAAAUUGCAUACGAGUUCGCACUCGGAUUGCAUAAGAGCGACAGGUGUACGGCAAUUGUUUGCAGUUGAUUUGCAUGAGCACAGCACUUUGUCCAGGUUUCUCACCUGUCGACGCUAUAACAUGUCCAUGGGACACAAACCGUUUUAUUUAUAUGAAGCGGCUGCCUGAAUUGAAAUACAUGGCCUGCAUUAUCGUUGCCUGACAGUUGCAUUCCGGCGCCUGGGCCUUGCGCUUUGGCCAACAGUAUCUUGCCAGGAAUUGCGUCUGUUCGACUUCGUUUCUAUUACCUUGGCAAUUACUGAUCUAAUAACUUUGGCCCCAUUAUGGCGGGCAUUCCUGUUAGUCGACACGUUGGCUAUGCGCCGGUUCCAGGUUCAGAUGUGCCACCAUCAAAGGCGACUGGAAAUGAUAAUCCACAGAGAAAAUGGUUUGUGGCGCUCGGAGCUUGUCUGUUAUGGUUGACUUGUUCCAGUCUUAUCAUCCUUGUGAACAAGUACAUCAUGGUACGCUCCGUUGAAAGAGCCCUGCACUCAUCUUUCACGGCGAGGACGGUGCCAUGGGACGGAAUUUUUCGCCCAACCCCCGCCUUCAGAAGGGAUACUCGAACGUUGUGCUCCAUCACGGUAACACGGAUAUGCCAUGGCAAACCUAAACAAAACGCCAAUGAUGCAGGUUGACUUGAACUUCAAAUACCCGAUGGCAGUGGCUGCUAUGGGCAUGGGCUUCGCGUCGGUUGCCUCGUAUGUGUAUUGCGACCUGUUGAAACGGGUUCCCGCUGCAGUUGGCGUCGAUGCCAAAUUUUACUGGAAGCGCAUUUUUCCCGUGGGCGCAUGUCAAGGUCUCACAUUGUUCCUGGGUAACCAAAUGUGAGUUUGGGUGGACCUGUGCAGUUGAGUCUCGGGGUUGGAAGGAUAGGGGGAAACGUAAUGCACGUCGGCCAUCCGGCAAGAUGCAUUGCAAACCUACUCAUAAAAUGCCCGCCUGUCACCAAGCUCCCAGUGAAAGAAGACCAGCAUUGGUGCUCUUGGUGACACGUGCAUGUAGCACGUUUCCCGGCGUUAAGACCCAUUAUUUGGGUGAAUGGACUUAAUGGAGCUGGGGAAAGGAACCGAUUCCCGGCUACUGAUUCCCAUGGAUAAGGCAUUUCCUUGAACCUUGAGCUACCGUUCUCCUGCAUGGACAUGGUGCCUUGCCAUCCAUAUCACCGGUUGCACUGCAUGUAUCACACUUCUAAGCACGGGCAACACCACUUCUCUCCAUGCCAGGUCCCGUCCCCCUGGGGUCCUCCUACCUUCUGGCCACCAACUCCUAAGCCAGCCCGGCAGCGGCUCCCGCUUGAACCCUGCGGUUGACAUAAGCACGAUUGGUUAGCUACAGCUACCCCCCGCAUAGCUCAGACUAUGCAUCCGGACAUACAGCUCAUGUCUGUUGCAGCAGCCCCUGCCUCGCUAGCACCCAUUUCCAGCUCCACCCUGGACUCUUGUUCAACCUCCACACCCCUUGCCUCCCCCUGCCAUAACUUUCCGACAGCGUGCAAAGGCCGGUUGCCAGCUGCACUGCAGCCGUGUGUUCCGGCUUCUGCGGGCUGAGCCCGGCAUCCAUCAUACCCCGGUCCCCACUCGGGCCUGGCCAAGAUUCCUAGUUUCUCACCAUCUCCCGCCAGGUUACACUCAUUCCUUUUCGCACCCUACCUCCGUUCGUAGCUUGCGUACCUUCCGACGCGCCACAUAACCUCGUCAAACGGAACCCCAAUUCUCGGAAUCGUUUUUGCAGAUGUUUUGCAGACCGCCUCGCUCUCCAUCCUGUCGUCCCUCACACCCCACUCCCUUUCCCCUCCUCUCUUUCUUCCCUAACACAUGGUUACGCGCCUUGCUUUCGAAACCCAGUUCCCAGUUUCUUCCACAUGUCGGCCCCUUGCCCUUUGUUCCUCUGACCCCUUUCCUCUCUCAUUCUCCCCCCCACCCCACAGGUACUUCUUCCUGACCGUCGCUUUCAUAGAGAUGUCCCGGGCCUCCCUGCCGGUGACUACCAUGAUUGCCUUGUGGCUGGCGCGCUUGGAGACCCCCACCGCGGCCGUCAUCCGAGCCGUGUGCCUUACGGCCGUGGGCUGCGCCAUCGCCGCUUACGGCGAGGUCCAUUUGACCCUCGUUGGCGCCCUCCUGGCUGCCUGCAACCUGAGUAUGGAGUCGAUUCGGCUGGUGAUGACGCAGUACCUGCUGGUGGGCUGCGACAUGCACCCGCUGCAGAGCCUCAAGUUCAUCGCACCGGCUGCCACCCUCACUUUGCUGGUGGGCUCUGCGAUCCGGGAGUACCCGACCAUGGUGAAGAAUAAGGCGUUCAGCAUUGUUGCGAGGUGAAAGGGUAAAAGGCGGAGGAAAGAGGGGUUGGGGAGGAGGCUAAGUAGCGAUAGUGGGCGGGAAGGAAGGUGAGGGCGGGAGGGGGAAAGCUGGGUUGAUGAGCGAGUGGAGGGGUAUCGGGCAGGGGCAGACGAUUGAUACGAGAGUGCCAGUAGAAUUGAUUUUUUUGCCCGGUGCCGACCGGAGGUCGGUUGGCUGGAUUUCACAAGGUUCCUCCGCCUCCAUUCCCGCGCAUUCUUUGCCUUUUCCGCCACCUUCCCCACUCCGCAGCGCCCCCUUCCACUUCAUGCUAGCGGCGGUGCUGGGCCUGGUGGUCAACGUGUUGGGCGUUGUCAUCAUCAAGCUCUCAUCCGCCACGACUCUAAAGGUGCGACUCUCGAAAGGGUUUUAUCCCUCUGGGGCUAGUGGCUCUUGAAAGCGGGGUGAGGGCUCGGAGAACGACCAGCGCGCGUUCGCCUAGGGCCGGGGCCUCGGGUCAUAUAGUCGUUCUCUUUUACAUUCUUUUGCAUCCAGGAGAGGCCGUUCCGCUGUCUCUCCGUAUUUCUGCCGCUGUUCGCUCUGCACCUCACACGACUCAUCGCCCCGUUUCGCGUCCUCUCGCGCUCGCGUAAUGCCUGGGCUUACUCGGCUUUCCCUUGUCCCUCCUUCCAGGUGCUGGCGGCGGUUCGUGGGCCCAUCGUGGUAAUGUGCAGCGUGAUGUUGUUUUCUGAAGCCGUCACUCUCAUCGAGUUCCUUGGAUACUCUAUGUGAGUUUGGGGUUGGCGGGGAGGAGGCCCUGGGCGGUUGUACGGAAAAGAGAAAACUCAAAUGCAGGAGUGCCCUUAACGUGGCUGUGGGCGAGGGGCCUGGUAGCAACAAGCAGCCAUAGCUAAGGGGCAUGGCAAGUGGGACGUGAGAUUGCUGGGAAUGGGGUUUUAACAGACGUCCUUGAGGGGUUAAUUGAGGGGGAGGGAAUGCACAUAGGGGGAAAGCCGCUUAGGGCUCAUGUGCGCACUUCCCAUCCUAGCCGCUAAGACUAUGGUUGCGCGCCCUCCCGGCCAAGCGCCGGAGGUUAUGAUUGACUGAUGCUCCAUUAUCUCCGCUGGGGGUUCUGACUCUGGGCCUGUCUGGCAGCUGCCCUGCUAGAAGUUACAACUUCCGCACAGGUGGGGGUGCCCCCUCCGUAAGGGCGAGGGGCCUCGUGGACGGUGACAUUGCCCUGCUAGAGCAGCGCUGCAUCAUGGACUGUGUGCCAUCCGAGCAGAGAGCCUGUGACCCGUUCCCUUAUGCUGAACUGACACGCUCCUUUUACUUCCGUCGGCAUUGCUUUGCUGCUGUGGCCGUUGCUGUUACUGCUGCUAUGGCGAUAUGGCGACGGUGCUUGUGUGGGCUGUACUCGCAGCGCCCUUGCGGGCUUCAUCUGGUAUCAAUUUGCGCUGACGCAAAAGGCGGCGGCCGAGGUGGCGGCGAAGUUGCAACCUGCCGCCAAGGCAUAGCACAUGAACGGGUGGGCGGGCAUGACUGCGUGGAUUCUGGGCCGGACUAGGCCAGACUGGGGGGGGUGGGGAAACUGUAGAGGUGUCAAGUGUAGUGUCAAUGCUAACCCGGAGAGAACGGGACCGACACGGGCGAGCAGGCAGGCUAGGUGGCAUGACGAUGGCGCUGAGUUGCAGCCGCCAAAGGAAGAAUUGGAACGGUAUAACAGCAUUACAGCGUAGGACAGCUUCACAUGUUCUGUUUUCUCACAUGACGAUGAGUCGCAAAGUAUUGUUCUUAUUUUGGCAUCACUUCAAGGUCGGCGAGAGUGGAUAUCGGGGGGUCUUUGGAGUGCUGGGCUUCUUACGAAGCGGCUGUCUGGGAUUUGUCAAACCGGCAAGGUUCAGGUUUGCUGGGUCAUCAUGGCCAUUUGGAGGGGGGGUCCAGGAGAGCUCAUGGGGUGAGGAGUUACCCAGCAGAACCCCCGCUGCUUUACAGCUGUCACCGCUAGCUCCGUCGUUUACAUGCUGUAUGGUACUGCUGUGAUUGCGAGCGGGCCAGAGGUUUUGACAGCAUGGGUCAGGCAGGGGCCUUGCUGUUGCAGGGACGGGCAACCCGACUGGGCUUGCAGGUUGCGCGUCAGUCGUUUGCACUGUUUACAUUUCUUUGUCGCACAGUGUUUGCAAAGCACAGUGUUUGCAAAGCCUCAUAGAGACGUACGUGUUGUGGUUCUGUUGACGUUCUUCCUCGUCGUCGUCGCCAUCAUCAUCAUCAUCAUUAUCAUCAUCCCGCCAUGUCGAGUGAACUUCGUAGUUUCGCAGGCUUUGAUUGGUCGUCAGCAUAACGUGUGAUGCAUGUGCUAGGGGGGGCCCGGGGCAUGCGCCUGCUGUCAAGUUUGGCUGCCUUGUGCAUGCCAGCUCGGCCUGAAACCGGCCCAAUGCUGUCGCUUUGCGUAGCUCAGAAUUCUGGAUGCACUUUCUUUGCCAGUGGCUAUCGUCAACACGUUUCGUGCUAUUCCUGUGAUCGCAGUGUACAUCUGGAAUCAACGCCACUUGUAAAUGAGAAAUCAUUGCUUCCGUUGGGAUGCUCGGCAGCAUAGUCGUUAGGAUGCAUGCCCCCUGCGGAAGGCAGUUUUUGCCUGAAGCCAGGCCAGCAAAAAAGCCGCAAGUUGAUUGACCGUCUUCCCGGCCUAACGGUAGCAUGCACGGAGGCCUGAAGCUUUACUGCAACUGUCGAGGGAGACAAGCAUGGGGCUGGUUGCAAUCUCCCCCUCUCCCGCGAUUGUCCCAUUGUGGCCUGGCCGCCUCCCGACAAAGGGUCUCUUCCCGCAUGCCUGCCAUCACACGGCAAUGGCAAGGGUGGGAACAGACUUGGUGCGCACAUACUUGGUGUUGGCUGGGGCAGAUGGGGCAGACACACCUUUUGGGGGGAAAAUAUGGCAGGAGCCAUUUUGCUAGGAGACUAUGACGUAGCCUGAUGCUGUGCCGUUAGGGCAGCAUGAUGAGAUUGCCGACGGACUGUCCUUGCGACAGGGAGAAGCAUCACGCCCUUUUGAGUGUGGGGCGCUGGAGGGGCUUUUCUCUUCUGCUGGUAGAAGGUAUCAGGACAAACAAGUAUACGGCCAGGCCGGACUGACUAAUAGUUGAUUUUUUGCCUGGAUAGUGCGUCGGCGCUUGCGUCGGCACUUUGUGGCUGUGACCUGCUGGAUUAAUAGGUUGCUGGCAAACUCCAUCUCGGAUGAUGGACUGGAAUCCUGGUGGCUUGUUGGUCAGUUAAACCGUGAGGUACCCUGGUUGAAAAGUAUUGCCUAGGACAUUGAGGCAGCUUAGGCUGUCCCAGGGGUGCGGAAGCAGUAAGGCAAGGCAGUCGCUGCAAUACGUGCUAACGUUGCGCUUCCGUAUACGGAUACGUAUCCAUGCGGGCUCGCUGGCGGCCAUGAGUUUCCCCUGGUUUCGUGCUGUUCAGCGGCUUGUCUUAGGCGGUUUUUGACAGACGGAAUCGGCGUCAUGGCUCAAAGCCGCACCAUGGCCGCACUGCGGCCGCCGUGUUGAUGCGAGGUGAUUGCGGCCCAUACGGACGCAAUUCGGGAGGGAAAGCCUUGUUGCGGGAUCACUUUGCAGGCGCUGGAGCUCUAGUGAAUGCAUAUGCACGUAAUACCGGAUGUCUUGGGCCACCUUACCACUUGUUGUGUGCAGCAAGGCAAAAAGAUUUAAAGCCCCCCGCCGAAAUGCAUAAGCGCGCGUCUUGGUGCCUUCAGGAUUUCCUGAUGCAAUGUAAAAAACGUAUUUAUUCUCUAAAAGCAAAUGCCUGUCCAAUCUGCUGCGUGCUGUGGUGCCGCCCAGAGGUCGGCAAAUCCGGUGGGUCCUGCGGGUCCGUAACACAGUACCCGCAGCCGAAAUUCGGCUUAAGGCCCCUGCUGCGGGACCCAAAUGACCAAAAUUCGACCGAAAGACGUGAUUGAAGCCUCUAUUGCGGCCCGUAGGGCCGCACGCUGGACUCGAACUCUGUGUUUGACUUUGUAAAAGAAUGUCACGACCACCUCUACACAAUUCGGUGACGGUUAUCACUGAUGAAUUAUUACAUCUCUAGCGUCUGUACCGAUGACUUGCAGCUGCCGCAGCACUUGACUUGGUCAAUUGUGGACUUUGGCAUACCAGAUAUUGGUCCCAUGUGGCCUAUCCUAUACAUAAUCUUCAUCAUAUUGCUUGUAUUUUCAGCAUACUUUUAACUGCUGACCGCGGCAUGUCGGCGGCAUCUCGCCGGGGAACGAAGGAAACGCGUGCAGAAAUUUCCAGCGGUUGACAACGCACGUUGGCCGGCACGCUGACCGGUCGUAAAGCCACUGCUGAUCCCCCAGCAACAUAUAUUGAGGCGGAAGAGCCGUUACUUGGGCCAUCGGGCAGCGCCAGUGAAGCUCCAGGUCUACUUUUCCCAGCACCACCACCUCCCACUUCCAGAAACGCCAGCACCGUGGCCCUUCCUCCACAGAAGAAAAGGCGCACUCAAGCCAACACUGCCGCCACCGGUCCCACUCAGCAGCCAGCACCUCUCCUGCCUGCCACCCCCAACACCACCGCUCCCGAACAGCAGCCGGCAAUACGCCUGCCCCCCGCCACUCCCAAUGCCACCGCCAACCCGCAACGGAAGCGCACCAAGUCCACCAAUAAGAUCGAUGCCGUUGGUGUCCCCCCGGGGUUGGAGCGGCCUCAUAAUCCCAACGAGGACAUUGUUUGGCUGACUGACGCUUGUGGUGGUGAUUUCAAGAGCUGGGCCUAUGCACUCCAGGGCUCGAUGACGGUCAUCUGCUUUUUUUGUGACACACAUAAGGAGAGUAACGCCACCAUUUCCCACACGAACUGGGAUCGCUCAGCUUACACCCGGCACGAGGCCUCCUACUCCCACAAAGCGGCUGUAGACCAGUACACGCAAGAUCCGCAGCAACAGCAAACUGACAAGCACCUGGCCAUGACCGAGGUUGCCGACAAUCCCUUGUUGGCUCUGUUUUGUGGUGCAUACAUGGUCCUGUACCAAGCCAUGCCUUUCACUCACUUCCCAACGAUCUGUGAAUACAUGGACUGGCUUAAAGUACCAAACAUCACCGGCUUAAGUUCAACGAGGGUCUUUUUGUGAAGCUGAGUAUGUCGGGUCCUUGAAGAAGGAGGAUGCAAUAUUGAAGGGGGCAAUGGCCAAGUACAAGUCCUCCACUAGGAUGCACCUCUACACGCACAUCACCGAUAAGGUCGAGAAUAUCCUUCACGACCCGCACUUCAACCGCAUGCGGUCGGCGAUGAAUAGCUCGGGGGCGAUGCUAACUUCAUGGCGCAAGAACUUGCUUUGCAACGACCCCUUGUUCCCCCCCUGUAAAACGAUCGGCCUGCAAUGUGUACGGAACGUGGAGCCCUGAAAUGCUGUCUCUUUUGGCGCCGGAAGGCGCCAAAUUUUUUUUUAAGGUUUAUUGACCGAAAUUAUGCCCUCCCGCAGCCGUAGAAACCGAUUUGCCGACCUCUGGUGCCGCCUGCGUGCGGUGCUGCGGUCUGAUGUCAGACGCGCCGUUUUCGUUAGCGAAAAAGGGAUGUAACGGUUGAGCCAUUAUGAUGGAUAGGUUAUGUUGCAGUUACCAAUUUUUGAUCCGCCAGAAAUCAUGAAAAGAGGGCAGGUUUAGGCUUUCUAUCCAGGAUAGAGGACCUCUAUUUAGGGACUGGCCAAAGACGGACUGCGAAGACUGAAUCUAAUCGCUUUCAUCGCCAUUACGUGACGUAAGUACCGAAACUAGUUAUCUGAGCUUAUCCAUCCUGUUCGGUCAAUAGCUGGUGUUGCUGAGUUGUGGUCGAUACUCCACACAAGAGCAUGGUUCUCCUUGCUUUAUGGCGUCCAAGCAUCGCUGAUGAACAGCGCUUGAAAUUGAACUCCUCAGGGUGCGCCUUGUGCUGUAAAUGGGCGCCAGUGGGAUGUUUGUGGCAUUAUUCACCAUGCUCUUCCUCCUGUUUGCAGCAAGGGGUUAAACUAUGUACAUGUUGGUGGUACAAAGGAUUCAUGGUUGCUACAGGACCUCAAGCAACGCGGUUGGGCCAUCGACAGGGUGUCGGUGCAGGUAGGUUGCACCGGCGGGCAUGCAACCCUGUUUUGCUGUCUUACCGAUAUGUUAAUCGCCCUACCGAAGUGUGCAUAUCCUGUAUACUACUGAGAUGAAGCCUGAUUACUUAGAGGGCUUCGGCAAGAUAGCUGCAAAACUUUCGUUUUGCAAAUAAUAGAUAUCACUCCACGCCCUAAAAGUCGUGUGCAGUAGGCCCGUGUGGGCUUGUUAUAUGUCCGUGACCCCCACGUCGAUACGUCAGUCUUGGUUCAACUUUGUUUACUCGUGACACCUUCCCAUGCGGCUGCUCUGUUUGAAACCCUUACGAACCGUGGGUCACCGGUCGUGCUUCCGCCACACGAAGUCCUGGCCCGACGCCUUGCUGCGCGGCCCCCAAACCGGAGCGCAUAUUGCCAAUGUAUCACCACCACAAUGCCAAGCUCACCAGUGUACUAUUACCGCCAUCCCCACCAGCAGCCGCAUCAACAGGAAGCCGCCAACUGUAUGCGACUUCACCACCAUCAGCAACAAGCCAACGACACCCGGCGUAUGUGCAGGUGGGGAAGGGGCGCCGCGCCUUCGAUGCAGCCACGGACUGCCUGCGGCGCUGGGGCCACUUCCAGCUGGGCUGGUCCAGCGUGGAUCCGAGCACGGGCACCCGGGAGGGGGACCUGGUGGCCGUCACCUCCAAGACGCUCUUUCUGUGGACAUGCAACCCGCUGCAAAUAGUGUAAGGGCGUCCUUCAGGGGGACUGGACUGGCUUCGGGGCCGCCGCUUAGCUCUCUUCCGGCGCUAUGGCGGGAGAAUCGGUGACGGCCGUCUGGGUGUUGGGUAUUAUGGGGGAAUGGGGGACGCAAAGCAGUGGCGAGUCGAGGCAAGCAAUGAUAGGCAUUUAAACCUGGGAAGAAGGGAACAGGGGAAGAAGAGAAGGGGUGUUAGGGGAGUAGAAAGGGAAAGGGGAAAGGAGGGAAGGAGAGCACAGCGCCAAUCUAUGCUACUAUGUGACGCGGGAGAGGACCCACGAAGGACCUGGAGGGUAUAGGGCUGAGCAACUGAGUGCUGUGUGUGGGUGGGCAGAACAAUAUGCGUGAAGGCGCGUAGAUUACCCAGAAGCCACACCAAGCUCAGUAGUGUUCAGCUGGCGCUCCGGAGCCAGGUUUUGGUUGGAGCGGCCAAGUGCUAUUGGCAGAAGUGUGUGGCUUUAGGAGCGCUGCAGACCGCGCCGAAGGGGCCUGGUGCAGGAGGGGACCCUGGGGCUCGCGAACUGUGGUCUGGGUUUGGCGCCAUUCGUAAUCCGAAGCUGCAAAGCGGUGAAAAGUUUUGCCAACCUUUCUAAUUCAUGAUAAUGAAUUGUGUACUUUCGUCACUAUAGACUUUGACUAUUAACAUAAUCCUGGGAGUGUCGAAGCCAUGAGAUAGAGCGCGCGCGCUCGCGACCCCAGCUUCUGCGAAGUACUGCACCGGCUGCCGCAAAGGCUUUUGAACCGGGCUAACAUCCUUAAUAUGAAACAGUGGACACCGAGCAGUCCGUCACCCCGCGCUGAAGGGGACGGCUCUCUCCCCUAAAACAUUUCUCUCACUUCCUGGACACGUAUGCGUGUAUGUGUGUGCACCGCACCGCACCGCCCUGAGCUGCGUUACUCUCCGAAGGUCGCGUCGGGACCAUUCCCACACCGCUGGGCAACGCCGCACUCGUCACCUCGCUGGCGCACAUCUGACCGGAGAGCUUGCCCACCUCGUUCAGCAAUGCGCGCCAUUCCACCCCCGCCCUCGAAGGCACCAGCAUUGCUAACGCGCUAACACGCAGAACGAGUUGUAGUGGGGAAGAGGUGCAUCAUGAUGUAGAUAGUUGCCGUUGCCACACUGCCCUGACUGCAGCAACCCUGACCACCGACCCAACUGGCUCCCACGGCGCUUCCCUUCGUUUCCUCGCCUCGCCCGGGAAUGCUCCGCAGGUACUCUGAACGCAAGGACCCUCCACGACUGCGACUGCCUUGUAAGGCUCCGUGUAAAGGCGUCGUGGCGGAGGGGUUGGGAUGUGCACUCCCCUAACAUCCCCUCCCGCAAUCAGAGUGUUUUCCUCACGUCCUGUCCGGCCCCGUCCUACACCACCUGGAACGUGUUUUGUGAUGUGUCGUGUCCUGCCGGGCGCCUAGAAGCACCACCUCUUGCUCCAAAAUCCGAUCAGCAGCCCCCCCGUCCCACCCCCACCGGCACACGAACCGGCAACGGCUGCUCCGCUCAACAAUAAAUACCGUCGCAGGGGCACUCGUGCCCCGUAAAGUUUCCAUGGUCCUUGCCGCUGGCAUGGCCGGACAUACAAAUCGGACCGCUGCUGCUGUUGAUCUUUAACACAACUAAUUCAACUGCCGCUUCUGCUGCUGUCCACUGUCGCUUCCUCAAAUCGCUCUUUUGUGUGGCACGGCCCCCUCCCUGCGCUGCCCGGGUCCAGGGCAGCCUCGACCGCCUCGCAGCUUCUCUUUCGCUCACGGCUGCCUGGAGGGGCACAUGCUGGCGGGGGAGGAGAGCUUCCGCGUGGAGAUGCGCCCCGACGGAACCGUGUGGUGAGAGGUGGAGCGAUUGGGAGUAGUGUCCACUCGCCAUGGAGGGGACCAGAACCCAGACUAGAACCCUGGGAGGGAAGGAACGCGCAUGUUUCAUAGAGCUGUAGCGCGGUGCUUAGCGGCACGCUGUGCGAGAAAAGCUAGUCUGCGGAGGAAGCAGCACUCGCGGUGCGAAUCUAGAAGCGCUGUGCGCCACAGCGCUUUAGUGUGGCGAUUAAGGUGGGUGGGACGAUCCCAACGCACAUCUAUUACCACUUCAUAUGUGCACGAAUUCAUGCCUUGUAGCUGCAGGCCGUAUCCCUAGGAGGUUCGGGGCUUGGAACUCUUCGGGGGUUCAGGGUGCCAGGUUGGGAGUUCACCUAGCAGUGGCAAUGGUGAUGGCAAUGGCAAUGAUAUCCAAAUUAGGAAUGCAUUUCCUGAGCACACCGAGCUGGGGCCUUGCCGCGUAGCAAGCGGGCAGGCAGCCAGCCAAGCCGCACCAUGCGUCCGCUAAACCCGCGGAUUCCCUCUUCCAGCAGGACAUUCAAGGGAAUGCGCAGACCAAGCCCUACGAUCCCCAUCUUCAUGCAAAACUCCUAGACUAUGCACGGCUGCAUGCACGGAAGACCAAGUUGCCGCAGCACCAGGGCCUGCCACCUACUGUGCAGCCACAGUCCCGUACACUGCAGGCCAUCACUAACAUAGCCACGCCAUAAAGACACCUGUUGAUGAUGCCGCAACCGUAUUGGGCCAAGUGGCCGUACAGUCGUCCAGCCAGACCCACUGUAUCACUACAAGGAUUUCGGGAGCGGGACGAUAAAGGCUGUCAAGUGGCCACAACCGUGUCACCGCCCCCGGUCGUGAUAAGAGAUGCAUGCCUCGCACCCAGUGCAGGCGCCAGCCCGCCGGCACCGCAAUUGCCCACCCAUUCAAACACCUCCGGGCCGCAAAGCCGGCGACGCCUCCGAGCAAUGCGGUUCCAGCAAUAGUCGUAUGCUAAGCUAAGACAUUGGUAAAGCCCUGAAUGAUUUGCCAUAAAAAACAUCACGUAUAGCGACAGUCUCCAAUCUAAUAUCAUGCCUGUACUGAGACGGCGCACAGGACAUGUUAUUUCUCCGGAUUGCAAGUUGCAUAAGGCGGCCGCAAGCAGACGCGCUUCAUUAUAAAAGGAUAAUCUUCCACACAUUCCCACUCGAUGGCCGCACCAUUAUUUGAACUUAGCGCAACCACCACCACAAUCAGCUUUCUGUGCACAUUCCUUGUUGAUACCUGAUAUAGCACAUCCGCCCAUCGCUUUAGGAAACCUCCCCCAUCAGGGCAUUCGCCGAGGGUCUAAUAGCGGUCUUUCUCCCUCUCCCUGUUCACCUUCAUGGCAUCAUACAUCCAGAUCAUGUCCACCAUACACCUCAUCAUGCCUCCCAAAAAAAACUACCCUGGCCGAACCGAGAGCAUAUCCUCAUCCAUAUCCAAAUCAAUGUCCCACACAGCAGGAACAGGUUGCAUUAUACCGUAUUACCUGGGAAAGCCCCAAAUCACAUGAUAGAGAGAGCGGCUUUAAUACUUCUCGGCCUCCAAGCCCACCACGCUGGGACACAGCUGCAUGCCGCAAGGGCACCAAGCCGUCUCCACCUCCGUCCGUUACAUGCAGAAACAGACUGUUAGGACGCCCGGCACUUGACCGCUGCGUCUCGCCAUCAUUCAUCACCUAGAUGCUAAACCGCGGUCAAACGUUCCGCUAGCGUCAAUAUCCUACCUACCAAAGCCCACCGCCCCCAGGGCGUGCGUGUACUAACCCCAGUCAACCAACCACCCUACGACGCCCUAACCCCGACCUGCUUCCACAUGCAUUCCGUACGACAGGUAUGACAUCACAACAUUUUCCAAAGCGGUGCAUCCUCUGGCAAUCGGGUUCUUCCCGUUGACGCGGCACUUCCAGAAGAUGUUCGGAGCCGACUCCGCUCGAGCCGUGAUUUCGGCGGUGGCGUCCUCCGUUUCCCCCUCCUGUUGAGGACCGGACCGCCCCCGCCUGGACGGCUGACGGCUGGCGGCCGCCUCUUUCGUGGAGAAGGAGGGCAAGAGAAAGGGGAUAGGGUGGCGGCUGUUGCAGACCGCACACUCGUGGAGUGCAAUCUUCACCAUCCUUCGCUGCCAUCCAUCCAUUGCAAAAGGCUAACACCCGAAAUGAGUCCUUCCACCCACCACUGCGCAGCAGCUGGUGAAUUCGCGGGGCCCAGCUCCUCUACAACAUUCUGCGCCUUAUCCAAUGCCAGGCCCAAGACCCGGCCCUUUCUACCCUCGCGCAAUCGCAGACCUCUUACGCACCCACCCAUGUCCGAAUCAACCAACCACAAUUGCCGCCUAAGCUCCCAGGACAAAGGAGAAGUUGCAGCAUGGCCGCUCUGAAACGAGAUACGAGGGACAAACGCCUGAAACAGCGACAUGACGGAAAGCGAUCUGUCCUGUCCACAGCGCGAGCUAUUCCCAUUAGAAAACCAGGAGAGAGGCCCUAACAAAAGAUAAAGAGACCUACAACCUAUAACAUAGGAGUAGUGCUGCUCAGUCCCACAACUGACGCCAGCUGCAAAAACCUCUGUAGAGGUACGAGAAACCGACGCGGAUGUGUGCACCGCACCGCACCGCGCCCUUGAUGACCGAGGCGGCCGACUCCCCCGAACCCCCCGUGCUACUCAUGUUGCCAACUACGGCCUCCGCAAGGACCGCUGCUGCUUCAGGCAGGAACACGCGUACGUUCGCACGUACCCUCGUAAAUCCCCAUAGCAAGGCGGCUGAACAGGACCAGUAGGGAACAGGAGCGGAGCCCAAUGUAGCUCAAUGUCCUGAUGCAGGGCUGCUACAUAAGGAGAAGGUGCACGCGAGGCAGUGGGGCAGAGUGCAGAUGGACACGGGGGAAAGAAACGACAAGCGAUACCAGGCUGACGCGUCCCAGAGGAGCAGCGGGUCUCCCGCCUAGAUUGCACGUGUACCUACCCCAUAUAGCAACUGUACGCCCGCUCAACGAAGGCCAGCUGAAGCCUGGCUUCAGCCAGACACCUCGCGGCAGGACGCCGCGGCUCCGCACUCUUUUUUUCCCGGAUAAAGCCUUCGUAAUUCACGCAGACAGACGCACACACACACACACGCGGAUAAGGACUCGAAGACAUACACAGCGGCUUCGACGAGCAAUUAUAGCAACAUUAACCGUAAUAGCAAAUUCAACAGCGGCGGCAGCGACAAGUUACCAAGCCGAGAAGAAGCUAGUGAUCAGGGAGAAGACGAAGGCAAACGCACGUGCGGGCGCUUCCGCAACACAAUCAGCUAAAGAAGCGCAGGUUGCGCUCGCACGCUUUUCUUUAACUCAUGGAUAGGUGAACGGGCACGGUCAUAUCAGAGCUAGUCACGUACCAGACACUCAAUACGCGUAUUCCCCCAGUACCUAUGUCCCAUUUCGCAGUGCUGCUUCCUAAUCUAGACAGGCCUACUUCCAGUCUCGGCCGAUGUUACUUGGCACCCCAAACGCGAAGUGAGCCGGGGGUUGAAUGGAGCUGGCUGCUGCAGCAAUGAAAUGCAGCUUAAACGCGAUACACACGCACACUCACCAUAUGUGUAAUAGCUUUUAAGGCGCUUUUUGUGCGUGCGGAAUGCGAGCCAUCGUCCCAUAGGAUAAACGCGCACAGCUGAGACACAGACGUGGUAGGUUGCGCAGGCAAGAAACCGACGAAAGGACAGAGACGGACGGACGGAAGCACAAACAAGCAGUACGAGGUUUUUCAACGCUGCAAGGCAACAGAGAGACGGAUGUGGAAUGUGCAUUGACACACACACACACACAUACACGGCGCAAGCCGCUCCAAGAUCCGAAAUGCUGACGUCCCUAACCGGGCUUCCACAAUUCGGAAGUUCCGCUAGUUGUGUUCCUUGCAGACCGGCUGGAUUCCUCGGCACCUGCACCUACCCACCUACAUUCUAGCAUGACGACGGGCAUGCGGAGGCAGUCGGUCCUUUGCCAGUCGCUCUUCGCACUCCCACUCGCGCUUCGUCUUUUCGUUAUGUUUCCUUUCGGGGAACAGCGGCCCCCCCGCCCCUCAGAACGUACGUCGUCGGCGUCGCGACUGAUUAGUCGCUGCAUUAUUGGUGACCGUCACUUAGACCGUUGGCCGGUUAGUGGGCUGCUGGCAAACGACCCCGCAUGAGGCCGGUUGACCAGCUUGGGGCCGUUGGGUCUGUUUGACUCGGGACGUUGGGUCUAUGGCGGCGCGGUCCGCCUUGCCGGUCCUCCGGGGCCCGUACAUCGUCGGCAUCCUGGAAGGUCUUGUAAUCCCUUCAGGACUGCGCGCUGCAGCGGCCACCCCCUUGGGCCACCACACAACCACAUCACCACAGCAGCAGUAGCAGCAGCAGUAGCAAUGAAUCACAGACCCCUUCGGAGCGGCGGUGUCGGGUUCUGCGGGUUCAACAGCCACAGAGCCAGCCACGCGGCCGCCUCCGCUCCGUCACCCAACGGGUAGAUGACGUCAGCGGUGGGCACCCCGUCUUUAAGCACCUCCAGAAGGUACUGCAUGAACAGAGUACCGUCCGACAACAUGGGCCCUGCACAAGCGGGCGAUGGCGUUACACAGGAACACACGGGUAAUAGGGAGCCUAGCAACGGUCUGCCAACAUCCCAGAAAGCGGCUGCUGCUGCUAGGAGUGCGACCUCCUAGCGACCCUUGGCAACCACCCGUACGUCCCUCCUCGCCUGCCUGCGCUGGCACUGUGAACAAAAGAUAGCACUUCGUUUUGCAAUAGCUGCUGUAGAUCUCCCCAGCCCGCCUACGCGUGAUGUUUCCGUGCUUUUCUGACCAGCAUUCCCACGUAUGGCACCUCGUGCGCCCUCUUCCGUUGGGACCUCGCCCUCGCAUCCAUGCACACACGCACCUGCAAGCACCAGGCUGAAAGGCUGGCGUGAGCGGUCCAGCCCCAGCUUGGCUACCACCGCCUUGAUGGCCCGCAGCAGCUCGCCCACCGCAUGGCGCAGCAGCGCAUCCGCCACAGAGUCCCCCCGGGAGGCACAGUCCAGCACCAGACGAGCCAGACUGGCCACACCGCUCACCCGCUGAUGGAUGGACUGGUGACUGCGAGCCCAUCUGCAGCGCACCGGGGUCGGGGAGGGGGAGAGUAGCCGGAAGGGGGACGAGGAUAUUCAUAUGCGUACCCCAGAGAAGAAAGGUUCAACAGCCGACGUUCAAAGUGGUGACGGAGUUGUGGACGGCGCGUGCAGGACAGGGAGGGGAAGGGGAUCCGAUGCGUAAAGGGGGUGAACGGAGGCGAGGAGGAGGUUAGCGGCGAAAGGCCCGUUGACAGGAUCCAGGCCGAGCAUCUCCAGCCGGCCAGCAAACCACAUGCGGCCACUGGCUCCGUUCCUUCCACUACCACUCAGCGGACGGAGCCCUACCAACCGCUGCCAGGCGCUGCUGCCCGGAACCUUCGCGGCCCAAUUUGACCCGCACGCCCGCAUGACGCAACACAGUCCGCUUACAUUGGGACAGGCCCCGGGUCUUGGGCCCGCCGUGACCGGUGACGUGGGAUUCCGAAGCCAGCGACACGCCGUCAGCGAUCCACCAGUGGGCACUUAUGCAGGGUGAUGGGUUGUACCGUACCCCGCCCAGGCCUACACGCGCAGCUGUGUGCACGCACACAGCCGCUGGCCCCGACCCAUAUCGGCUUUUGCAGUGAACCCCCCAAAAUGCAGUCCUCCUUCCGCCGUCGCAGCUUAGCUCGUGGAGUGCCGCCUUCCGGGCAACAAAUACGGCAGUACUGCUUUUGGACCGCGGCAGCUGGUGCGCGUUGUUGCUUACCGGAUGAGGUCCUCUGCCCGCUGCGCCCCCAAGUGUCGAUAUACGGCAUUGACUAGAAGUGUGUCAGCACCGCGACCGUCCUGCGCCCGACUGACGGCGGAUAGGGCCCGCAGACCCACAUCGUAGGCACAGCCUGGAGGUGGUGGGGUCGGAGAGAGGGUUGGGAAAGGGCAUCCAGGUGGCCGGGCUGGGUCGUCAGGGUGGGCCAGGGUGGCGCCAUUGCCCUGGGCUGGCUUUCUAAUGCUGCUGGCUAAGGUUUUGGAGAUGAAAUUAAUCAAGGCUGUGGCAUGGGACGUAUUGGAGACGUGGUGGACCGGUAUCAGGGGGUAGAAAUCUUGGGAAAAUCAGGUAGCACGGAUAAAGGGAAAGAACAGCAAGGGCAAGGGAAGACGCAAUAUACCUCCGUCGCUGAAUACGGGGCCCCAUCCAGAGGCAGCGGCGGUGCGGCGAUCGGCCACGGCGCCGUAGGCACGGCUGCUGUCGACGCCGGCGACGAGGACACAGCCGAGCAGCGGCCCACCGGUUCCCGACACAAGCGCGAUAGCUGCGCUGUUGUACACCAAGACCUGCAUAGCGUACAGUAUCCAGAGGGUUAAACUUACAGGCAUGCUCAAAUUAGCGGUGCACCGGAAAGAGUUUGGCGUCUCAAACCUGCACUGAUGCCGGCAAGAGCCGUCUGACCGCCGACCGUAUGUUCGAUUCUGACUCUUCUCCUAAAUCCGCGGCCGUUGUUCCUAUGCAAACGGCUUUGAUGGAUUGCCAGGGGUUGGACGCGGGCUGUGUUGCGAUGAGUGCAAUCAGCGCGUUCAAAGCCGAGUGCAACUCCAUUGCAGCCGCAUCAGCUUGUGCAGCUGUCAUGAGAUCCCUGCAAUCAAAAUAAAAGUAAUGUAAUGUUCAAGCGCGCUGGUUUUGUUACUUAAUUCGCGAUAACCCGACCACGACUUGCUCACCAAUGAUGCUGCGUCUGGCAUGUGUGUCGACCAAGCACACUUCGGUCCACAUCCACAGCUACACAGGUAAUAGAGCCUGGAACAGCCUCUACUCCCACGAUAACCAUUGCACGCCGCCUAACGCACGCGCUCCGGCGCUCCCUUCUGAGACCUCUUUGGAGAAGGUGCACAAAAAUUGGAUGUUGUGGUUCACCGCGCCUUCCCUAAAUUUCCAGGCCGCCGGCUUGACGCGCCAUGGCAGGUUCCUUUUGUUUUCGUUCAGGAAACCCAACCAUUGCACAUUCCUAACAUCCAUGCAUUUUGAUGUAAAAUUGAUGCACAAAAGCCGGCUGAGCGCAAAGACCCGUUCACCUCUCUCACACUGUCCUGUUUUCCUCAUAGGGUACGGUUUCCCAAAAAGCAGUUCUAAGUUGUUGUCUGCUACCUUGUGAGCUACCCAAUCAACCCGUCAAUGGACUUUGGACACUGUACAAGGAUCUGAGAACGUUCUUCGCGCCCCUGUGAUCAUGUCACUGACGUAAAGGACUAAAGUUUAUAACAUCUCCUCCUUACAUUAAUUGUACAGCGCCUUUACAGAACUACGCGGCCAAAAACUCGGUGCUGCCAUCACGAGCCCGUACGCCGUGCCUGCUGUACCUUUACUCCACGCUGCCGUAUGCCGUAUGUAACUGCAGGUAAUCAACAUGCGGAUCGAAAGCUAUACUUUCUGGAUUAGCUGGCUUAAAUGGUUGUGGAACUCGCUCAUAAUUCGCUCGGAAAGAGAACCCAACCUUCUCAAAACUCAUUUGCGUAUGCUUCCCUUCCCUUUCCUGUCAAUCCAUCUUUAAAGUGUGAAGAUAUAAAGCUAUAUGCUUAUAGCAUGCAAUAUGUACGCGACCCCAGCGUGGAUGCAGGUAAGGGGAUGAUGAAAGAUGCGCAGUGACGAAUGCCGGUAUGGAUGCGAGCAACUGCAAAGACAUGAUAGCGUUGUUGGUUGUAUCUUUAAUCGAUAAGAUGGCAGGGAAAUCAGGGACUUACACUGAAUUGGAAACGCCAAUUAAGUUUCUUUCGUUUGACAACGGUUUCUGGUGCUCAAAAGCGUAUAUGUAAAUGCAUAUCCAUAUGCUAUCGAUAUUCGUAUGAAAAACUAUUUCGCUUUCCGGGGUAUCGAAUUCGCGAUACGGCGCUGCCUGUACAGUUCAUCGCUCUGCCAUUGAGCAAAUUUGCAAAGCGAAUUUACCACGCAUCGUUAUCUUCCCUCGCCUUGGAUUUCGCAUACAUGGUGCGAACAAUUUGCACAGGCAACCCUUGCGCACGCUGACCUACUCGCUCCUACUCACCACGCCAGCAGUUUCUGACUUUUCCAUUUCAUUAGUUGCACGACGUAAUAUGUCAGUCCUUCUUCGACUACUUUUCCUGAUUCGUUUUUGGCAGUGAUACAUUCGGUGCGCGUGAGCUCUGGUGGUAGCUGCAGCCCAAAGCAACGCCUCGGCGGUUAUGAGCCCUUCCAAGUAGCCAAUGCAGCUAGCAUGGCGGUUCCGGCGGCCGUAACUGGUAUAAGCGUGCGUGCUGUUGCCUUCUCGGUGGCCCAAAUAUGCGCGGCCAAUCUAGGAGGGAAAGACUUUGGAUUUUUCCCGGACUUAAAAGGGCUUUCAGGAAGUAACCGCUUGAUUAAACCUUCACAAACCCUUGGUAGCACCAUCGACUCGGCAGACACUACCCAAAGACUACCCAAAGACUAGGGUGCAUUUCCAGUGCGGAUUAAGGGAUUAAGGAUUAAACCUCUGUCCUCCAUCGAUACUUGCUCGACCCUUAACCUUUUAUCCUCCAUCGAUACUUGCUCAAACGGCUAAGUUGUUGGCAAACGUACCUCGCCUUUUCAACCUUUGGUUCCCUUAUGGAACAAAACUAUGUGGUAAGCUCGUACCAAGGACUUCCGUGCCCUAAUCCCUGGCCUUAAUCCGCACUGGAAAUGCGUGCCUAUGAAACCCUUGAUGGGUCUCCCUUGGGAUUCGUGCUACUGCACAUAUCUUCCGAGGCUCUGUCAACACUGUAAGAGACGCCUUUCGAGAGUCUUCCGACACUUUAAGACAUCGUGGGAUUUCUCUUUCUUGGCCUUAUGCUUAGUCGAGGCUUAGAUAUUAUGCCAUCUGGACAGGCAAACUGUGGCUUGUUAAGUUGCCAUCGCAUCAUGUCCUCUUGAUGUUCAGCUGCAUUAUUCUGUCACGUGUUAGUCAUUCUAGGACUGCUUUGGACUAAGGAUCAAGGUAGACUCGCCGAAGCUUUAACAGCGGUCUUACGUUGGGCAAGCUGUGGCCAGGGCACAUGGUUUACAUGUUACGGUGACGAUGCGACUGACGCGCUGCAAAAUGAAGGCCGGCUGUGACAUCCCCACGAAAAUUUUACUGCAUGGGAAGGGAUCCCGUCAGGAAUAGAAUGCUAGGCCCCGUUAGAACAAAAAUGUCUAACCACGCAGCACGCAGCAUUGCAAUAGCAGGACGCCAAGAAACAAGACGACACUACUUCCCGGCAGCCUCGACUGAAACAAGGACAUUCGGUUGCACUGCUCAGACAAGAUAUCCCAGGGCCGACUUGUCAUUGUCAGUUCAUGUACGAAGUCCUGCCAUAUACAUGCAUGACGUGACAAGAGUACGUAGCACGGCAAGAUUGGCUUUCAUCGCGCCUGGCGCAAUGACUGCAAGGCGCAUGCCGGCUAACCCUUGCACCCACCGCCGCUCGUACCUCGCCACGAGGUAAAUAAAAAAACACGAACAGAAAUCGGCAUACUGUGCCUCAGGAACGCCGGGAUGCAAUGGGACCAAAUGUUAGCCCCUUCUCCUAUAUCUUCCCCGGCGUUCCCUUCCAGCCGCCGAUGUGGCGGCGGCUGGAAGGGAACGCCGGGGAGGCGCAGAGGCGUCUCCAAGGUUAUUCUUACCCGAGUGAACCGAAGCUCCGGCGCUUCUAUCCGUUGGCCGAAUUACACCGCUGCUUGAGCCCGCGAGCGUUGAGCUUAUGCGGCGCUGUGGCGCGCAGCCAGUGCCGACGCACGGCAAGUUCGCCGCUCACAGAGUUAGUUCUGUACUCACAGUUUGCAUAACACCAUCGCUUCGUUCUCCAUGAUGCCGCCCUCCCUCCCAGAAUGAUCGCUCGUUGCCAACCCAUGCAUUUAAUGCUAAACUUGUAUCACGCUUUGCACGGUAAGAACACCUAGUUUGUGAAAGGUAACGAGCAGGUACUAAGCCAACCUAAAUUUUGCAGCCAAAGUUAACGCAAGCUAAUACAAUGAUGAGCAGAAAGCAGUCGCGGCGCUGCGCGACUGCGCUUGCGCGUCUUAGGCGACCUAGGCGCCGGGUCAUGGAGUUGCGGUCGCGACCGGCGCCACCGAACCCUGCGUCCGCAGCAACGCCACGGCCGCAUCUAGUCGUGCUGCAAGGUCGCAUGCCUUCCGCCGGGCCUGCUGCGCCAGAGAUGAGCUCGUCUGGGCAUGUUGAAGCGCUGCCUGUAAACGGGUCUGGACGGGCCCAAAUACCUCCCAGUGGCUUGCGGCACGCUUGCGUGCUUCAGUUGCGGCCUGCCGGUAGACCAGCCAUCGUAGAGGCCACCAUAUAACCCAUUCACCAUGCAUGAUAGGCACCAGGAAGACGAAACAGAGUAAGGUGGCAGUGGGGUUCGAACGUUCGAUCGAUCGUGUCCUAGGUUCAGCUAGUGGCUUCGAGUCAUAUCUUCUUCGCUGUGCAUUCUCACACAGCUGCACCGUCACUUUAACUUGGCCAUGGGGUUGCCCAAGUCAGCUCGCGUACAUGUUACAGCUUAAGCGAUGGCGGACUGAGGGGACGGUUAAGGAUGAGGGUCUGCAGGUCGCCAUCGCAGCAUAUGUUACGGACCCCCUUGCGGAACAUGAAACGUGCAUGCACAACCUACCUUGGCCGCCAAGUCGCGGGCCUCUAGUGCAUGCCGCAGCGAGCGGCUGGUGUCCUCCGAGGCGCUGGCGGCCGAGUCGCCGUUGAGUGGCUGCACCCAGGUGGGCUUACCCUCCGACCACAGCCCCAUGAAGCGGCUGCCUGUGGACCGAAUCGAGGAGAGUGACAGUAAGGAAGCGGGUAAACAAUGCAUGGUAUGACGCUGUAAGAACAUGUGCACGGCUUACACAAAAAGGAGCUCAACACAUAGCAACAGGAUUGACAAAACUUGGGCGAGUUCCAAGCGGGUGCGAAAGGAUAGGAUCCACAUGGAGGUUACAGUUGGUGACGAUGGCGGGUGAUUCGGCAAGGGCAGGGUGCAGAUAUUGGUUGGGGAAGGGCUGUAAGUGCAUGCAGCCGCGUUUGAGGUCACACAGCAAUGCUGCACGCAUGACACGCACCGUUAUCGACCGUGUACACGCUCCACCCAUGUUUCUUGCCCUGCUGCCACUGGCCCUGAUAGCAUUGCCCGCUGGCGAAAUGGUAGGUACCGAAGCCGUGAGGCAGGUCCUCAAAAUACUGCCCCUCGUAACGGUCGCCGUUAGGGAAGGAGUACACGCCAUGCCCAUGGCGCUUGCCGCGCUGGUAGUCGCCCACGAAGUUGCUGUCGUCCGUACACUGCAGGGGACCGCCGGGUGGGUUUGGAGGGAGUGGGGAUCCGAUGCCGCCUGCUCCCACCUGAGUUUGAAGCUCGUGGAGGAGGCGCUGCGUGAGGACGCCUACCUUGCUGACGUAGCGGGACUGCACUACCACACGAGCCCGGAGGGGCUGGCGGGUGUGUGUGUGUGGGGGGGUGCAUACCGAGGCCAGGUAGUUCCUUUCUCCCAGCAUAUCGCAUCUUUGGCGGCUCAAUCUUCACAUGGAUAAAAAGCGCCGUGGCUAAGUGCUUCAACCUUACAGGUGCAAUGUGAAGUCGCGCCUCGGCAGGAGGCUUCUUAAUGGCCAAUUAUUACACGCUCAUGCCCGAGAUCCGACCUCAGGGCCUGGAACUGACUAGCCCCUAACGAAGGUGUGAAUAAUUCACGACAACCACGAUGCCAUAUGUUGGCCUGUUUGGUCAAGCCGCUCGCGAGCUGGUGCCAAAUCCCGGCGCCAGCUCCAAUAUCCCAUCACCAUCUACCUCCUACCUUGACGGACCCUCAGCUUCCCGCAUACCGCAAGCCACAGGGCAUUUCCAACCCGCAGCUGCACCCACUCACCCAGGUCCCCAGCUGCCCGGCGCACCUGCUGCAUGCCGCUGCCGUCCCGAAGGCCCUUCACCCACUGGCCCUCGUAGUAAUCGCCGUUGUAGAAGCGGCACACGCCCCAGCCGUUGCGCAACCCACCCAUGUAUUCGCCAUGGUAGGUGGAGCCCUUGGCAAAGGUCUCAGCGCCCGUGCCAUUAUAUACGGCGUUGCGCCACUGCCCCUCGUAACGCCCCUCGUGGCUGUGGGCAAAAGGAAAGAGCAGAAGCGGGAGGGGCCAAGGUCAGGGCAUAACGGAGGUGCGGACUUUUACGGUGAGGUUGCUUCGACCGCAUGGUUGUGGUCCAGAAAUUACGGAGAAGUAGUUUUGUGUUUUGAGGCUAUAUGGGCCCAGCAGAAGGGCGGCAAACGGUUCGCGCGAGAGUGGUUGAUGCUGGCAUGAGCACAUAAUUUGCAGACGGCAAUCACCUUGCAACUAGCUUUGCUUUAUGAAAAGUAUCGGCCCAACGAAAAUGCAGCCCGUGCAACAAUACCUCCUUCUCCUUAUGCCCUGAUUUGCCUAAUCAUAUUCCACCCCUGACUCCUUCCCUCUCUUAUGUUGGGGGCCCUUUUCCUUACGCAAGUCCGCACGUCCUCGGCCUCACCUAAACGUGUACACACCACAUCCGUCCAUCCGGUCGUCUCGGAACUCCCCUUCGUAAACGUCCGCGUUGAUGAAGUGGUACACGCCCUCGCCGUUCUUCUUGUUGUGCACAUACCGGCCCUGUGUUAGUGGAAACGUGUUGCAGUUUCGUGCCUCAUUCCAAUGCGAAGUCAGGCAGAUGAUGUGCCCUUAGUCAGAGCACACCGGCUUCCAAAACCAGCCCUCAGUGAUACCCAGUGCAAACUUUCGGUGUGACGAGGCGCAAGGUGGCCAGGCCAAGGAAAAAGCAAUGGACCCUAACGUGAUCCAAGCGCCAUGCAUCACACGCUGUGCAAGGUCCAGGGGAAAGGACUCCCCUGGACCUUGCACAGUGUGUGAUUCAUGCCUGAUCGUGGACUUUCUUAUUGGAGACUGCAUUCCGGGGGGCGAUACCGUCAAUGCUCACACGCUAUCCCUUCCCAACCCGUCAUGCAUAAGAACCCUAAAAGGCGGCACACCUUGUAGAUGUCGCCAUUGCGCAGCUGCUUCAGUUGGUACUCGCCUAACUUGAACACACGCGCCUUGCGGCCGCUCCCAGUGCUGACGCCGCCCGCGGAUCCGUCGCCACCGCCAUUUGAGCCCCCUUCGUUGCCGCUCGCAACACCGGUAUGCCGGAAAUACGUGGCUGCCAGAGCCGCGAGCUCCCUUUGGGGAGGGUAACAGGCAUGAGGUUUGGCGCCGACAGAGGUUGGGAAUACUCGCCUGGCUUUCAGUUGCUACACCGUGCCGAUCGGGGCUCACCAAAAGCUCGGUGCGACACCCAUGCCGUGAGGAGUUACGCCCUUUAAUGUGCAUCACGUGAAUGAGUCUAAAAUGAAUAAGAAAACAUGUUCCAGAGACGUCCAUUGUUUCUUAUCCGUGCCAUCGCACCGCCUUGGCCCGCCUGACCCACCGCAGCGCUGCAUACCCUAGCAGCCUGUUGCAAACCCAAUUUGUCCUGCACUCACUUAUGGAUGUCCUGAACCAACGCGAACUGUGCCAUGCCCACGGCCUUUAGGUGGUUAUCCAGCUGGGUGGUACUGCACAGCUUGCGCUGCUCGUCUGUGAGAUGGCGGUGUGGAGCCCCAUCCGUGCGAGGACUGAUGGGGCCGCCAACGCUACCGUCCUCAUCCCGCCACAUUUUCAACGUCUCCUCCGCUCGCCGGCAGAGCGCCUCAAGCCGAGUCUUGUACGAGUUCGCACGCUGUGUAGGAGUGCGGCAGGUUGAGUCGUUGCUGGGGUCGAAAUCUUGUUUCUCAGGAAGGCACAACAGUGUUCGUGGAACGAAUACAGUGCAGAAUAGGAUAGGAUGGGGUGAUCGGGCGGAGGGCCCGUGCAGGUCACGGAUGGGGUUAUACAGACCCGUGGAAUUUCAUUGGCCACAUAAACUAGCCACCAAAGACAUACAGUCAAUAGGGAGCGGGGCUCGCUGCAGGAUUGCAGUCCUCAAUCUCACCAUUAACGCCGACAGCGAUGCCGCUCACCUCGAGGAGGAAAGCUGCCUCUGCCUGAUAGUUACGAUGGCCCGUCGUGCCUCCGUUCACCGGCGAUCCUGCCCUGGAUCCUGGCCUGGACGUGCUUGGAGAAGCCGGGCGGCUCCUCGCCUGCUGCUGAAUUUGCUCCUGCGUGUGCGUCGCCUGGCUGUACGUUUGGACGUCAUUCAGCAGCAGUGUGGUGUGCUCAAGCAGCGUUUGUAGGGCAUCCUGCAGGCUGCGAGCCUUACCACACAACGCCGGCGAGUAACGGGGGCCUGCACUGACAGCACCCGGCGCGGACUCUGCAAGCAAGGCGGAAUAAGAUCCAAGAGAUUUGUCAAUCCCCUGGAGUGCCGCUGCGCAGACGUCCAACGCGGCGGCCAUGUCACGGAGGCAGGGCGGUGAGGCCAGGCGCGUGCGGAUGGCGGGUGACGCCAGUAGCGCCGCAAUGUCCGCAGGCAGCAUGGCUGGGGAGUAGCGCCAGCGGUGGCCGGAGUGUGGCGAUGGAGACGCUGCCGCCGACUCCGUGGCGGAGGAAGACCCCACGGGUGACGCGUCUCUGAUGGGCAUUGUCGACUGUCCACUGAACUGUUGUUCCUCACAUCCCAGCAGCGGCACUCCGGGAGCGUGCCCAACUAUGGCAAAUGAUGCCGUGGCGGCGGCACGCGCGAAGGCGUUCGGCAUAGCCACUGAGGCUUGCUGCGGCACGCCAGCUUCCAAGAUCUCGUCACCAAAGUCCUCUUCCUGCGUCCGCCGUCGUAGCCGCGAGGGUGACCUUGGAACACUACCAUCAACGCUCCGCCUGCCAUCAAAGCUACGUCUGCUAUCAGGAGUGCGUUUGCCGUCACCGCUGCGACCGCCAGUGUUGUAAUCGCCAUAGCCAUCACCCCGAUACGAAGACUCCGGCCUUGGCGACUUGCGGUCGCCUAUCCCGGACUCAUACCCAUAGAGCGAACCCGUCGGUGACAUCGUUGUCCUGGGCGAUAAAGGAAUUCCUUGUCCGGAGGGAAUGCCCGAACGCUGCCGUCCGAAGCUGAAGUUUUCGGACCCCAAUCCGUGGGAAAUCAACUCCGACGGCGACGGACUGACCACACUCCUGCGGACGCACAGCAAGGGGUGGACAACGAAGGAUCGGUUACAAAACCGACGAGCAAAGACAUAGCCACGAGUCAUUAUAGACGAGGAAGUACGUGAAUACGGAGGAGUCAGGAAACUCGUGCACAGAAUGCAACAAGCCAAACCAAGGUGUGCGAGCCCGAGGCGUGAACACCCCUGCCAGUGCUCAUGGACCAGGGACUGGUGAGAAAUGCAGUGGCUUGGGGAUAACCUCAGCUACAGUGAGGCCGCAGAGGUGCCCCCAGGCGGGCACCAGAUCACCACACGUAACUCCCCGACCAGACAGAUCGUAAUCUCGGACAACAAGGCGGAGCCCGAAAACGCAGCAACGUCGUGCAGAACCUCUCCACCAGCAUCCCAUCCAUCCCAUGAGCCACAGCUCGUCAGUCUCUGCAUGGGGCCCAGCCGCCCCCGCGCCCGCAAGGCACUCACCCCGACGGGCUGUCACCCAUGAUGUCCUCGUACUGCUGACCGUAAUCCCGCUGCUCCAACCGCGGCGGCGCCACCUCAGUGCCCACAUCGGUCAUAAACCGAUACUCCUCCUCGGGAAAGUCCGUUUGCGUGCACCUAUGAGACAUCAUGAUCUGUGUAGAACGGACCGUGAGGGCGGGACGUAGGGGUUGGUACGGCAGGGUGCACGGCGUUGCAGGGUUGCCUGUGCAGUCCUUGGAACCAAGCCUGACGAAUGAAAGCAUGCAACUGGGGAUUUCGAGGGUUGAUGGGAAGGCAGUACAGUGUUGAAACAGAUUCAUCACAAGGCCGUCCUAUUCGACUACGUGAACCAUAGACCCCUCUACCAGUCUAGAGCGAGCCCGCAGGAAGAACGUGGUUUAAGUGCUUGUCGAUGCAUGCCGACGCAAAUACUGCCCACGACCCGUCCCAAAAGCGGAUGUUGCAGCAUAUCCGCCCUUCACAGCCAGCCAGCUGCCCAGCCUCAUAUGAAGCAUGCUCACACACCUAAAACACACGUCCAUGCCUGCGUCAAAGUCCAUGAAUGCAGACGUCCUAGCUGGAAGCACGUCCCAGCACCCAUACCUAACCUCCGACCCACAUAACUGCUCACAUAUGCCCAGCCGAACACACACCCGCCCCUUCAGCCAGUCCGUCAACCCACCCGCUUACGCAGUUCCCCGCCACUGGAGCCUGGGCUUAGACGGGGGCUGCGCCGUUCAUAGUGCUCCGGCGGCACUGCCAGGCUCUCCUUGUAGCGGCUGGUCACGUUUAGGUAGGGUGGCGUACGCCUGCCGCCGCUGCUCUUGCUGCCCGUGCCCGGCGUGACGCUCACCGACCUGUUUCCCCUGACCCUACACGCAUUGAUCAAGCGCGUACGUAAGCGAGAAGGAGAGAGGGGUAUUCCAUAAAUCCCCUCUUUCUGUGGCAGCGGGGCCAUCCACCUCGCCCGACUAGUUUCAGAACCAUCCAACGUGCAUGCAACGCGGACCAUGACGCCUGUCAGGUUCUAUUGCAAACCUUCUGGGGACGCCUGCGCUGGUCUCCAGCGCUAGCCUGCUCAAUGAUUAGUCAGUCACAGAAUGCGACGCAUUCAACAUGCCCGGUCAGUUGCAGCUCCGAACUCCUCCUCCCAUUUCCCCUUCCUUGUGUUGUUAUUAGGUAGGAUGGUCACCGAAGGGCGCUUACUUCAUUGGCUACUCCCCAAGGAUGCCACACUACAGCAGUUCCUUACCUGCCAGCCUCAUGACUCAGCGGCGUUGUUCCACCGUAGUUUCCGCUCGUACGCACUGCAGCAGAAGGACCGCCGUUGUCAGGCCAAUAGAGUUGUGCAGGGGCUCCCGCGAAACGCAGCUUUAUUGGGGAUGCAAAUGGGUUGCUGCCAACCUGCACGCGCGGGGAUUCUAAAGGGCACCACCCUACAGAGCCCAAGCCCAACGGCACGCACCGCCACACGCACAGUACCCCAAACGUACCUAGGCGGCUUAGGUUUUCACGCACUAACCCAAGCCCCUCCAACCAACACCCCCAGUCUCACGGUCUAUGCGUGUGAACUCGAAGGCACUGGUCUGUAGGCAGGCUGGCAGAGGGAUGUUGACCGUCCCGCCCUUGAUGGACUGCUGCCGCCGGUGGUUCGGGCUGUACCCAGACACCCUAGGCGCGCCUGCACGCGCACCGUGGGAUGGCGGAAGGGCAAGGCGCAUGAGAUUGCUUUUGCUUGAGCCGAAAGACCCCGACUGAUGGAUGCGUAGAGGUUGUCAAGUGGGCCAACGAGCAGUGCAACUGUCGUUGUGUAGUAGUGAAAGGGGGGAUGCCAUCCUCAGGACCUGAUAUGGCCUGCCCAGCUGGUUAGGCUAUUGAGAGGCACCCUCUGGAAAUGCCCUGGCACCGCCACAAAACUGGUCCAGUCUCCGACCCCGUGUACUUACCCUUAAAGCUUUUGUAAAGCCACUGCGCAAACUCCAUGAGAUCAGGUGGUGAUGCCUGGCUGAGCUUGGACACAUUCAGCUCCUGCGCACUCAGUUGGAGCAGCGGUGAGGACUCAAUGGUGUCGGUCCAUUUUGGUUUCAUGUGGUCAUUCCCCAGAGGAAACGCAAGGGCGAGGUCACAUACAUGCAUAAAUACAGGCGGCUGGCAGAGGUUAAGGCCUGACUUCUGCUCCCGGAGUGUCCGGAUUCAAAUCCGCCUCGGGUGUUUGAGAAGUGUUGAAAUGGGAGAUGGCCCCCCAUCUUGUGGACGGUGUAGGACGUGAUUAUAUCAACUUUCGAGCUGGCCAGGAACUAAGUUGAGGCGCCGUUGAUCCGCUAGAUUAGGUUGGAUGCUGG